AGAGUUUGAUCCUGGCUCAGAAUCAACGCUGGCGGCGCGCUUAACACAUGCAAGUCGCACGAGAAAGUGGAGCAAUCCAUGAGUACAGUGGCGUACGGGUGAGUAACACGUGGAUCAUCUACCUCUUGGUGGGGAAUAACCCUGGGAAACCGGGGCUAAUACCGCAUAAGCCUGCAAAGGGAAAGCAGCAAUGCGCCGAGAGAGGAGUCCGCGGCCGAUUAGCUGGUUGGUAGGGUAAUGGCCUACCAAGGCAAUGAUCGGUAGCCGGCCUGAGAGGGCACACGGCCACACUGGCACUGAAACACGGGCCAGACUCCUACGGGAGGCAGCAGUGGGGAAUCUUGCACAAUGGGGGAAACCCUGAUGCAGCGACGCCGCGUGAGCGAUGAAGCCCUUCGGGGUGUAAAGCUCUUUCGGCAGGAACGAUAAUGACGGUACCUGCAGAAGAAGCUGCGGCUAACUACGUGCCAGCAGCCGCGGUAAUACGUAGGCAGCAAGCGUUGUUCGGAAUUACUGGGCGUAAAGAGUGUGUAGGCGGUUCUCUAAGUUCCGUGUGAAAUCUCCCGGCUUAACUGGGAGGGUGCGCGGAAGACUGGAGGGCUGGAGUAUGGGAGAGGAAAGCGGAAUUCCUGGUGUAGCGGUGAAAUGCGUAGAUAUCAGGAGGAACACCUGCGGUGUAGACAGCUUUCUGGACCAUCACUGACGCUGAGACACGAAAGCGUGGGUAGCAAACAGGAUUAGAUACCCUAGUAGUCC
rnacentral:rRNA from 1 species